CUAAGUUUUCUCCGUCGCUGCAAAUUCAGCGGCAGGGUGUGGAAGCCCUCACG
rnacentral:ncRNA from 1 species